UGCUUGCACUUGGAUGGACUGAGUGGCGGACGGGUGAGUAACGCGUGAGCAACCUUUCCCAGACAGGGGAAUAACACACCGAAAAGUGUACUAAUACCGCAUGAGACCACAAUUCCACAUGGAGAAGGGGUCAAAGGAGGAAUCCGCUGAAGGAGAGGUUCGCGUCCCAUUAGGUAGUUGGCGGGAUAACAGCCCACCAAGCCGACGAUGGGUAGCCGAGCUGAGAGGCUGAUCGGCCACACUGGAACUGAGACACGGUCCAGACUCC
rnacentral:rRNA from 1 species